rnacentral:rRNA from 1 species
AUUAGUUUUUUAAUUGAAGGCUAGAAUGAAUGGUUGGACAAGAAAUAAUCUGUCUCAAUUGAAUAUAUUGAAUUUAACUUUUAAGUGAAAAGGCUUAAAUAAUUUGAAGGGACGAUAAGACCCUAUAAAACUUUAUAUUUAUAAAUGGUAGACAAUUUUGUUUUGGGAUAUUAUUUUAAAAUAUUUGGUUGGGGUGACAAGGAUAAAAUAAAAAAUAACUGUCUUUUUUUUUUACAGUGAUAUUUGGUUUAAUGAUCCUAGAAGUGGAUUAUAAGAUUAAGUUACUUUAGGGAUAACAGCGUAAUUUUCUUUGAGAGUUCUUAUCGACAGGAAAGUUUGCGACCUCGAUGU